UCACAACCUUAGUGAACUUGUUGACGCUACC
rnacentral:piRNA from 1 species